UACGGAGGGUGCGAGCGUUGUCCGGAAUCAUUGGGCGUAAAGGGCGCGUAGGUGGCCUGCUAAGCGUGCGGUGAAAGUCGGGGGGCUCAACCCCCGAUCGGCCGUGCGAACUGGGAGGCUUGAGCACUGUAGAGGCAGGCGGAAUUCCGGGUGUAGCGGUGGAAUGCGUAGAGAUCCGGAAGAACACCGGUGGCGAAGGCGGCCUGCUGGGCAGUUUUGCUGACACUGAGGCGCGACAGCGUGGGGGAGCAAACAGGG
rnacentral:rRNA from 1 species